rnacentral:lncRNA from 1 species
UUCUCUUAAGUGAUUUCCAUUUUCAGAGUACUCAUCUUAGGUAGGGGUGUCAUAUUUUAGCUUACUCAGAAUCUGCAUGGAUAGUUACUAUAAUAUUACCCUGGAACUCAAAAUGUACAAAUUGUCUUAGAUAAACACUGUAAUUACAAGUUUGGCAGUGAAAAUAGAAACCAAAUAAAAAUUUUAAAUUCUGCUUUUAUUUGAAAGAACUAAGGCAAGUUUCUUCAAGGUAAGAAGUACGGCAGAAAUUUUUUUCUCAUACAGCUGCCAGCCAUAGUUUGGUAGACAUAGGAGUCCUGAGCAAAAAUAGUAAGAAUUGGAGACUAGUGGUCCUUCCCUUCCUUCUCCGUCCAUGGCCACGUCUCCAUCAUGGUCAUGCCACAUCCUCACAGGCCUGCUGCCCACAGCCCUCCAUCCUUGGGCCAGCCCACAGGUGGCCUAAAGUCACCCAGGCAGGAGACAGUAAGGACUCUUGUUAAGAGGUCUGAGGGGGCCCAUGCCUGGUGCCCUGGAUCUCUAGCAUUUGACUUCUUCCAACGGUAUAAAAGUCUAAUACUUGAGCUUUUCAUCCAAAUAAUAUCCCAUCCAGUGGCCUUUGAGUAUAUCGCUCUCCUUAUUCACCAAGCCCAUCCUCUGAUCAGAAGAUUCUUUUUCCUUUUUCAGAUAUACCAGUGUGUUCCUCACUUUGUCCUCUAUAUGUUCAGUACUUUCUUUCCCCACCCCCUCUACACCUCUCUCCAGAU